rnacentral:tRNA from 1 species
GGGCCCUUGGCUUAGCCUGGAUAGAGCGCUGGGUUCCGAACCCGGAGAUCAGGGGUUCGAAUCCCCUAGGGCCCG